UGCGUAGGUGGCCUGACAAGUCAGGGGUCAAAGGCAACGGCUCAACCGUUGUAAGCCCUUGAAACUGUCGGGCUUGAGUUCAGGAGAGGAAAGCGGAAUUCCUAGUGUAGCGGUGAAAUGCGUAGAUAUUAGGAGGAACACCAGUGGCGAAGGCGGCUUUCUGGACUGAUACUGACACUGAGGCACGAAAGCGUGGGAGCAAACA
rnacentral:rRNA from 1 species